AGUCGAGCGCCCCGCAAGGGGAGCGGCAGACGGGUGAGUAACGCGUGGGAACGUACCCUUUACUACGGAAUAACGCAGGGAAACUUGUGCUAAUACCGUAUGUGCCCUUCGGGGGAAAGAUUUAUCGGUAAGGGAUCGGCCCGCGUUGGAUUAGCUAGUUGGUGGGGUAAAGGCCUACCAAGGCGACGAUCCAUAGCUGGUCUGAGAGGAUGAUCAGCCACAUUGGGACUGAGACACGGCCCAAACUCCUACGGGAGGCAGCAGUGGGGAAUAUUGGACAAUGGGCGCAAGCCUGAUCCAGCCAUGCCGCGUGAGUGAUGAAGGCCCUAGGGUUGUAAAGCUCUUUCACCGGAGAAGAUAAUGACGGUAUCCGGAGAAGAAGCCCCGGCUAACUUCGUGCCAGCAGCCGCGGUAAUACGAAGGGGGCUAGCGUUGUUCGGAAUUACUGGGCGUAAAGCGCACGUAGGCGGACAUUUAAGUCAGGGGUGAAAUCCCAGAGCUCAACUCUGGAACUGCCUUUGAUACUGGGUGUCUUGAGUAUGGAAGAGGUGAGUGGAAUUCCGAGUGUAUAGGUGAAAUUCGUAGAUAUUCGGAGGAACACCAGUGGCGAAGGCGGCUCACUGGUCCAUUACUGACUCUGAGGUGC
rnacentral:rRNA from 1 species